GACGGAGGAUGCAAGUGUUAUCCGGAAUCACUGGGCGUAAAGCGUCUGUAGGUGGUCAAAUAAGUCAACUGUUAAAUCUUGAGGCUCAACCUCAAAAUCGCAGUCGAAACUAUUCGACUAGAGUAUAGUAGGGGUAAAGGGAAUUUCCAGUGGAGCGGUGAAAUGCGUAGAGAGUGGAAAGAACACCGAUGGCGAAGGCACUUUACUGG
rnacentral:rRNA from 1 species